rnacentral:rRNA from 1 species
GACGAACGCUGGCGGCGUGCUUAACACAUGCAAGUCGAACGGACGAGUGAGAUAAGUUUACUUAACUCACAAGUUAGUGGCGGACGGGUGAGUAACACGUGGAUAAUCUACCUGCAACACCGGGAUAACGCUGUGAAAACGGUGCUAAUACCGGAUACGUUCCCUUGUGCGCAUGUAUGAGGGAAGAAAGCUCAGGCGGUUGCAGAUGAGUCCGCGGCUGAUUAGCUAGUUGGUGAGGUAAAGGCUCACCAAGGCGAUGAUCAGUAGCCGGCCUGAGAGGGUGAACGGCCACACUGGGACUGAGACACGGCCCAGACUCCUACGGGAGGCAGCAGUGGGGAAUAUUGGACAAUGGGGGAAACCCUGAUCCAGCAACGCCGCGUGGAUGAUGAAGGUCUUCGGAUUGUAAAGUCCUUUUGGCGGGGACGAUGAUGACGGUACCGCAGAAUAAGCUCCGGCUAACUUCGUGCCAGCAGCCGCGGUAAGG